rnacentral:rRNA from 1 species
GUUUUUUAUAAGUGAUAUCAAAUAGUUUUUAUUAAAGGUUACCUUUUGUAUCAUGAUUAAAUUAUUAAUUUUGUUUAUUGACAAAAUCUCGAAAUAAACUGAUUUAAUUUGAUAUUUUUGCUUGGGUAAAGUAAUGUAUAAAUAUCAUAUUCGUUGUGAUAAAUUAGUCGAAGUUUAUUAUAACUAGAUAACAAAUGAAGAGUUUAAGCAUUAAAUUAGCUUUGAGGUUAAUUUAAUUUUUAUAAAUUUUAUUUAUAUGUAAUUUUUAGUGGGUUUAAAAGUCACUUAACUAGUUAAGUGUUAAAACUAAAUUUGUUUUAUAAAUUUAAUUUUAUAUAAUUUUUGUUUGUAUUUAAUUAUUUAAUAAAUAUAUGUUUAAAUAAGUAGUAAAAUAAUGUAUUAAUAUCUCGUUUUAAGCUGUAAUGUUUAUUAAAAACAUUUCUAUAUACAUGUUUAUAUAGUAUAGCCUGCUCAGUGUGUAAGUUUAUAUAAAUAGCCGCAGUAUUUUGACUGUGCUAAGGUAGCAUAAUUGCUUGUCCCUUAAAUAGGGAAUUGUUUGAAUGGCUGAAUAAGUUUAAUUAAGAUUUAUAUAUUUUGAUGAAAUUAGUUUAUGAGUCAAGAAUCUCAUAGUAUAAUAUAAGACGGAAAGACCCCGAGAACUUUUAUUAUAUUUUAUUUGGGGCAAAUUUAUUAUUUUAAUUAAAUUUAGAACCAGAUUUUUAUCUGUUUAUUGAAUAAGUUACCUCGGGGAUAACAGGGUAAGAAAUAAAGAGAGUACACAUCGAUUUAUUUAAUUGCUACCUCGAUUUUGACUUAAGUAUAACAUAUUGGCGCAGAAGCUUUUUAUGUAGGCCUGUUCGGCCUUUAAAUACUUUCAUGAGUUGAGUUAAGACCGGUGUAAGCCAGGUUGGUUCUUAUCUAUAUUGGUAUUUUUAUAGUACGAAAGGAUUUAAAAAUAUUUAUGUUAAUUAUA